rnacentral:tRNA from 1 species
GAGUACAUGGGCCAGUGGUCUACGCCGUGGCGUUUAGGUUUGGCCACCGAUUUCCCGUCGGUGACUCCCUCGCAAGAGGGUUCAUGAAACCCGCCAUCCGAGAGGGCGCAGGUUCGAAUCCUGCUGUACUCA